UUACGGUCAUAUGACGUUGAAAACCCGAUUCUUUAAUGAUCACCGAGGUUAAGCAACGUCGAGCCUGUUCAGUACUUAGAUAGGUGACCACUUAGAAAUACCAGUUGCUGUA